GAUGAACGCUGGCGGCGUGCCUAACACAUGCAAGUCGAACGGAGAUUACGGACGGAAGUUUUCGGAUGGAAGACUGUAAUUCUUAGUGGCGGACGGGUGAGUAACGCGUGGGCAACCUGCCCUAUACAGGGGGAUAGCAGCUGGAAACGGCUGGUAAGACCGCAUAAGUCGGUUAAAUCGCAUGAUUUGAUCGGGAAAUGAGCAAUCAGGUAUAGGAUGGGCCCGCGUCCGAUUAGCCAGUUGGCAGGGUAAAAGCCUACCAAAGCGACGAUCGGUAGCCGGACUGAGAGGUCGGACGGCCACAUUGGGACUGAGACACGGCCCAAACUCCUACGGGAGGCAGCAGUGGGGGAUAUUGCACAAUGGAGGAAACUCUGAUGCAGCGACGCCGCGUGAGUGAAGAAGUAUUUCGGUAUGUAAAGCUCUAUCAGCAGGG
rnacentral:rRNA from 1 species